rnacentral:misc_RNA from 1 species
GUAGGUGAACCUGCGGAGGGAUCAUUACCGAGUGAGGGCCUCGCGGCCCGACCUCCCACCCUUUGUAUUCCGACUCUGUUGCCUCGGGGGCGACCCGGCCUUCGGGCGUCGGGGCCCCCGGUGGACCAUAUAACCCUGCAUCCACGCGUCCGAGUAAACCAAUGAAUCAAUCAAAACUUUUAACAACGGAUCUCUUGGUUCUGGCAUCGAUGAAGAACGCAGCAUCUGACUGACUAAGAUUCGGCGCAUC